rnacentral:piRNA from 1 species
UGCUUUCUUAAAAGAAACCAAGACCACCAGCC